rnacentral:rRNA from 1 species
AAAGUAGGGGAUCGCAAGACCUUGCGCUUUUGGAGUGGCCGAUGCCUGAUUAGCUAGUUGGUGGGGUAAGGGCCUACCAAGGCGACGAUCAGUAGUUGGUCUGAGAGGACGACCAGCCACACUGGGACUGAGACACGGCCCAGACUCCUACGGGAGGCAGCAGUGGGGAAUUUUGGACAAUGGGCGAAAGCCUGAUCCAGCAAUGCCGCGUGAGUGAAGAAGGCCUUCGGGUUGUAAAGCUCUUUCAGUCGAGAAGAAAAGGUCGCGACUAAUAAUCGCGACUCAUGACGGUAUCGACAGAAGAAGCACCGGCUAACUACGUGCCAGCAGCCGCGGUAAUACGUAGGGUGCGAGCGUUAAUCGGAAUUACUGGGCGUAAAGGGUGCGCAGGCGGCUUUGUAAGUCAGAUGUGAAAUCCCCGGGCUUAACCUGGGAAUUGCGUUUGAAACUACAAAGCUAGA